UUUUAAUGGAUUGAGAACGGGUUAAAAGACAGGGAACAAAGGGGUACGGAAUAAAUGGUAAAUCCUCAGAACGGAGAGGUGUAACUUAGUGGUUCCCCAAGGGUCAGUCCUAGGACCAAUCUUAUUCAACUUAUUCAUAAAUGAU